UCAGUGCGCAUGCGCGCCUCUGCUGGUGGCUCCGCGCCUGCCUGCCCAGCAGCUUGUGCGCUUCUCUCAGGCCCUUCCAGAUUCUAAGACGCACAACAGUGGACUUACUGUGUCCUAGAAUUGUUGUUCUACAUCUGUAUGAAGCUUUUUGUAAAGUCUUGUGUAAGCUGUUAAAUUUUACCUGUUGGCGGACUGAUGGUCCUUAUACUGGAGGUAGAUGCUGGACUGAUCAUUUGCGUCUGACUUUCUUGUUUACAAAGUGAGUGUGUGGCAGCUUCGAAACCUGGGACUUAAUCCAGCUGACGCUGGCUUCAGCAUACUGACCAUGGGACCUGGCAGGAUUCCGUGUGCCCAGGACGAGCCGGCACAGGUGGUGAACGCUGGCAUGAGUGACCCACGGCGCCUGCUGCACGGCCAGUCUGCAGACAGAGCCACCGUGCAUCCAGCCUCUGGAAGGUACUCCUGACGGAUGUUCAGAAAAGCAUUUACCUCACCUGCUUUGUUACCUUUUAUAUUGAACAAGCGUCAUACACUCACAGCAAAGUGUCAUCAAUAGCAUUAAACUCCAGAAGUUUUAGCAUAAGCUGUGUCUUGCGCGUCCUGUUCAAUAAGAGGCCCUGAGCUUUGGUGCCCUCACCCCUACGUCCAGAUGCAUGCGAGGGAGGGAGCGCCAUGCCUCGCCCUGCAGGCACUCUUGACCUCAGAGGGGAAGGUUGGGUGAUGGGGGUGAGGGAGGUUGUCCAGGCAACCUGGAGUGUGCAUCCAGAUCCUGCUUCACUUGGGAAAUGUGCCAAUGACGGGGCCGUCGGGCAUUAGUAGAAUUUCACUUCCCUGGACUUGGGGUCUCGGGUGCUUGAAACCUAGUUACUCUGAGGACAUAGAAUCUUUCCCUACUGCCAGGAUUCAGGAACUGAAAGGAUUAUGUAUAUACCAGGCUUGCUAGUGUUUUACGUGAAAUCUUUAUCACUUACUUUGAAAAGUGAAAGUGCUUUCUGGACCUAAAAUUUGUGAAUGCCAAAUAUUAGCUUUGCGUUGCUUCUAUUUUUUUACAGAAAGAGGGUCUACUUGGUCAUUUCAGUAGGUAGAGGGACAUCUGGAAGUGAAGACCUUUCUAUUCAAAAAGAAAUAGCUGAAUAAUUUUUAUUCGAAAUGAUCUUUUGUCUGUUUUCAGCUCUAUUUCUUGUCACUAUUUUUUUGAACAUGUAGUGUAAGUAUUGUAAACUGUUUUAAGUUUAAUUGAAGUUAUUAAACUUCCUGAACUCUUAAUGAUA